rnacentral:rRNA from 1 species
GACGAACGCUGGCGGCGUGCUUAACACAUGCAAGUCGAACGAAGUGGCGAACGGGUGAGUAACGCGUAAUAAACCUGCCCUUCCGAGGGGGACAACAGUUGGAACCGACUGCUAAUCCCGCAUACUGAUGAAGGGGAUUGCGUCUGAUUGGCUCGGUGGCGGGGUUACGGCCCACCAAGGCGAUGAUAAGUAGCAUGUCGGAGAGGAUGAACAGACACAAUGGGACUGAGACACGGCCCAGACCCCGACGGGGAGGAGCAGGGGGGAAUCUUCCGAAAUGGAGGAAAGUCUGACGGAGCAACGCCGGGUGAGUGAUAACGGGCUUCGGGGUGGAAAGCUAUGUUAAGCGGGAAGCGGUACCGGAAGAGAAAGCAACGGCUAACUACGUGCCAGCCGCCGCGGUAAUUC